GCCUGGGUGGCUCAGUCGGUUAAGCGUCUGACUUCAGCUCAGGUCACGAUCUUGUAGUCCGCGAGUUCGAGCCCUGCGUCGGGCU
rnacentral:tRNA from 1 species